rnacentral:lncRNA from 10 species
UUGCAGGGAGAGGGUGCAGGGGAGAGGGUGCAAGGAGAGGCAGGCAGCGGAGAGGGUGCAGAGGAGGGUUUGCAGGGGAGGGCACCUGCUUUCUUGCUGUGCUCGUAUCCUGGCAGUCUGCCCUUGACUUCCAGAAGGCUCUGAGGCUGCUUUUGGAGGGAGGACUUUGAGGUCUGAGCUUGGGGCGGUCACGGAAGCACUGCAGGAGAUGCCAGGGGUUCUGCUGGGCUGGCGGUGUGACCUCCCGGGCUUGCUGUGAGGGGUUGGUUUCCUGGGAAGUGUGUGCUUUAAGGACCCUCAGUGGGUGGUUCCCCUGGGUCAAGGACUUUCCUUGGAGUGUCCUCCACCGCAAAGGACUUCUUCAAGGACCCCCUGGCCAUCCCCCAUGGGUGUGUGCCUCAUGCUGUAUCGGUUCCCGAGGAAACUGCCAAACAGUCAAACCUGGGGCCUCUGGCUGUGCUUCACCCAUGGAGAGGGAAUAGGUGGCAGGCUAAGAGGACUGUCCCUGCCACUGCCUCUGGGGCCUUAGCGGGGAGGAAUCCUGAGGGAGCUGGGGUGCAGAAACUUAGGCUUGAUCCCCACAUCCCCACUUCCACUGUGUCCCUGCAGCAGGGAGGGGAGUAGACAGUCAGUGCCUGUUGGAUAAACAGGGUGACCCUGUGGCAUCCAGUGAGGAGAGGCCCCUGGGGCCCUGGGCUGCCAAGGAAGAGGCUCUGGGCUUCUCCCUGCAGCCACCUCACUGAGGAGCUUUGGGAGACUUGAGGUGUGUGUGGCUGCUGCUACGGGCUGGGAAAGGACAUGGGACCCGAGACCUCCAUCCCCACCGGGCGCUGUUCACCCUCCGGCCUCACAACCGCAGGGCGAGGCUAAGCUGAGGGUUCCCGAGGUGUUUCCCGAGGUGUUUCGAGGUGUCUGUGCUCACGUGCACUCCUGACUGUAACCAGACGUGGGCCAGAGCUGGGCACCCCCCCUCGACUGCAUCCAGACAUGGUUAGAGCUGGGCACCCCCCCCCCCCGACUGUAUCCAGACAUGGUCAGAGCUGAGCACCCCUCCCCGACUGUAUCCAGACAUGUUCAGAGCUGGGCACCCCCCCCCGACUGUAUCCAGACAUGUU